AAUUAUUGCUGCAGAAGUUGAGUUUUAGAGACGAAAGAAAACAUGAUUUGGAGGGGAUAAAAAAGAAUAUCCCUUGUGGUUGAGGCAGAUACAUCAAUUGAUGUAUUGAUAAAAAAGCUUUUGAUUUUUAUAAUGGUGCAUUAACAUACACACCCAAAAUGAAAUGUCAUUCAGAUGAGUUGUUCUAAACAUUAAGCAACACCUUAAAGUAGUAUUCCACAAAAAUUUUAGAUAUGCUACCUGAGAAGUGUCUUACUCAAUUAUGACUAAAUUUUUAAACCUUUAACAA
rnacentral:misc_RNA from 1 species